GAUGAAAUUUGCAUAGGUUUCUGUGGAAU
rnacentral:piRNA from 1 species